GUCUCCAUGGUCUAGUUGGUUUUAUGACGGCGGUCUCAUAGUAAUGCACAAAUGCACAUGACAGCUCAUCCAAGAGUUGGAUAUCCGCAGGUCACGAGUUCGAUUCUCGUUGGAGGCA